CGGGACGGGUGAGUAACGCGUGGGUAACCUGCCUCAUACAGGGGAGUAACAGUUAGAAAUGGCUGCUAAUACCGCAUAAGACCACAGUACUGCAUGGUACAGUGGUAAAAACUCCGGUGGUAUGAGAUGGACCCGCGUCUGAUUAGGUAGUUGGUGAGGUAACGGCCCACCAAGCCGACGAUCAGUAGCCGACCUGAGAGGGUGACCGGCCACAUUGGGACUGAGACACGGCCCAG
rnacentral:rRNA from 1 species